CUCAGCUAAUCCUCCUCCCAUUUGCCUUUGGGAAAUGGUGCCUGUCAGGGGAUUUCUCUGACUUUCUGACUCUUUGAAAAAUUUGCACUUGUGAGGGAUAGUGGUUCUAAUGCUCUCUCAGGUGCAGUUGGAUCUGAUAGUAGGCCACAGCAUCUGUGGUCAUCUGUCUGGCUGCAUUCAUAUGGGUGAAUGCAGGGAAUGGUGUCAGGGCUGUAAUGUCUGCUUUAUUUUAUCAUCUCUCUUCUGGCAUUUUGCCCCUAACAACCAGCUGUCCUUAUUGCAGUGCCUGGGCAUGUCUCAGGGUAUGGCAGAGGUCACCAGCUGGUUCCCAGCAGUCAGAAAGGAUGAAGCCAUCCCAGACAGGAGAUUGUCUCACUGUGUGGAUUGUAUCUGUGCUAUGUAUGCCAUUUGAUGACUGGACUGUAGAAUGGGUGCCAGCCCUGACUAGUUUCCUAGUAUAUGUGUAGCUUCUGAUACCUUGCUGAAAUGGGAGUUGCUAUACUCAGACUGUGAGCAUGGUGUGCUCAUCCUCCUGGGAAACCUGCAAGUGGUGCUGUGAUGACCCCUGUAGCCAAGGAAAGAGAAGUGAAUGGCUCAGCCAGAUGUGCUUCCAAACCUAUCCUGAAGAUGCUGACUGCCUAUGCAUCUCCAGGCAUUACGAGUCACUGAGAUUAACUGUGGAAGACUCCUUCUCCUUUACUUCAAAUUAUGAAGCAAGCAAGUCUUGUUUUAGAAAGUGUCAUCCAGCACAGUUAAAUGCCUGUCAACAAGCAUUGACAAGCAUCUCUCAUGUUUGUCAACAGAAAAAAAAAAAAAGCUUUGAUAAUUACAUGAAAUGAUUAAAUACAUUAAAGUAUGUAAAUAUAUAACAC
rnacentral:lncRNA from 7 species